GACGAACGCUGGCGGCGUGCUUAACACAUGCAAGUCGAACGGACCUUCUGAUCUUUUGGUUGGUUGGUUAGUGGCGAACGGGUGAGUAACACGUGAGUAACCUGCCCUUCUCUUCGGGAUAACUGUCGGAAACGGUGGCUAAUACCGGAUAUUCAUAUGCUGUCGCAUGGUGGUGUGUGGAAAGAUUUUUUGGUGGGGGAUGGACUCGCGGCCUAUCAGCUUGUUGGUGAGGUAGUGGCUUACCAAGGCUUUGACGGGUAGCCGGCCUGAGAGGGCGACCGGCCACACUGGGACUGAGAUACGGCCCAGACUCCUACGGGAGGCAGCAGUGGGGAAUAUUGCACAAUGGGCGGAAGCCUGAUGCAGCGACGCCGUGUGCGGGAUGACGGCCUCCGGGUUGUAAACCGCUUUCAACUGUGACGAAUUUGACGGUAGCAGUAGAAGAAGCACCGGCUAACUACGUGCCAGCCGCCGCCGUAAGAC
rnacentral:rRNA from 1 species